GACGAACGCUGGCGGCGUGCCUAAUACAUGCAAGUCGAGCGAAUUGAUUUGGAGCUUGCUCCAAUGAUGUUAGCGGCGGACGGGUGAGUAACACGUGGGUAACCUGCCUUAUAGAUUGGGAUAACUUCGGGAAACCGGAGCUAAUACCGAAUAAUACUUUUUGACACAUGUCAGUUAGUUGAAAGACGGUUUCGGCUGUCACUAUAAGAUGGACCCGCGGCGCAUUAGCUAGUUGGUGAGGUAACGGCUCACCAAGGCAACGAUGCGUAGCCGACCGGGGAGGGUGAUCGGCCACACUGGGACGGGGACACGGCCCAGACUCCUACGGGAGGCAGCAGUAGGGAAUCUUCCACAAUGGGCGAAAGCCUGAUGGAGCAACGCCGCGUGAGUGAAGAAGGAUUUCGGUUCGUAAAACUCUGUUGCAAGGGAAGAACAAGUAGCGUAGUAACUGGCGCUACCUUGACGGUACCUUGUUAGAAAGCCACGGCUAACUACGUGCCAGCCGCCGCCGUAA
rnacentral:rRNA from 1 species